GAUGAACGCUGGCGGCGUGCCUAAUACAUGCAAGUCGAGCGAACAGACGAGGAGCUUGCUCCUCUAACGUUAGCGGCGGACGGGUGAGUAACACGUGGAUAACCUACCUAUAAGACUGGGAUAACUUCGGGAAACCGGAGCUAAUACCGGAUAAUAUAUUGAACCGCAUGGUUCAAUAGUGAAAGACGGUUUUGCUGUCACUUAUAGAUGGAUCCGCGCCGCAUUAGCUAGUUGGUAAGGUAACAGCUUACCAAGGCAACGAUGCGAAGCCGACCUGAGAGGGUGAUGGGCCACACUGGAACUGAGACACGGUCCAGACUCCUACGGGAGGCAGCAGUAGGGAAUCUUCCGCAAUGGGCGAAAGCCUGACGGAGCAACGCCGCGUGAGUGAUGAAGGUCUUCGGAUCGUAAAACUCUGUUAUUAGGGAAGAACAAAUGUGUAAGUAACUAUGCACGUCUUGACGGUACCUAAUCAGAAAGCCACGGCUAACUACGUGCCAGCCGCCGCCGUAA
rnacentral:rRNA from 1 species